rnacentral:rRNA from 1 species
UCGAACGGGAUUCGGGACUUCGGUUCUGAUGAGAGUGGCGCACGGGUGCGUAACGCGUAUGCGACCUACCUACUACAGGGGGAUAGCUUCCGGAAACGGGAAUUAAUACCCCAUAAGACAUUAAUGCUGCAUGGCAUAGAUGUUAAAGCUGAGGCGGUAGUAGAUGGGCAUGCGUUUGAUUAGCUAGUUGGUGGUGUAACGGACCACCAAGGCGACGAUCAAUAGGGGUUCUGAGAGGAUGAUCCCCCACGCUGGUACUGAGAUACGGACCAGACUCCUACGGGAGGCAGCAGUAGGGAAUAUUGGGCAAUGGGCGAGAGCCUGACCCAGCCAUGCCGCGUGCAGGAAGACGGCCCUUAGGGUUGUAAACUGCUUUUCUACGAGAAGAACAUGCUCAUGCGUGAGUAACUGACGGUAUCGUAGGAAUAAGCACCGGCCAACUCCGUGCCAGCAGCCGCGGUAAUACGGAGGGUGCAAGCGUUGUCCGGAUUUAUUGGGUUUAAAGGGUGCGUAGGCGGCCGAUUAAGUCAGUGGUGAAAGCCUGUAGCUUAACUAUAGAAUUGCCAUUGAUACUGGUUGGCUUGAGUUCGAUUGAGGUAGGCGGAAUUUGUGGUGUAGCGGUGAAAUGCAUAGAUACCACAAGGAACACCGAUAGCGUAGGCAGCUUACUAAGUCGACACUGACGCUGAGGCACGAAAGCGUGGGGAGCGAACAGGAUUAGAUACCCUGGUAGUCCACGCCGUAAACGAUGAUAACUCGCUGUUGGCCCCGUAGGGGUCAGUGGCCAAGCGAAAGCGUUAAGUUAUCCACCUGGGGAGUACGCCCGCAAGGUGAAACUCAAAGGAAUUGACGGGGUCCGCACAGCGGUGGAGCAUGUGGUUUAAUUCGAUGAUACGCGAGGACCUUACCUAGGCUAGAUGUGAGGGAUGAUUCAGAGAUGGAUCAGUCGCAAGACCC